AGACAUCAACAAAUUGGAGAGGUCUGAGGCGCUCCGGGACUCUUUCAUGCAAAAUAGCCGGAAGACUGCAGAAAGUAAAGCUUUCUCUGCUGUCCAGUCAAAGGCAUUUUGGGGAGAAUCAGAUGACAGCAAUUCUGAGAUCGAAAUGGCCUUGCGUCCUCAGUCCCGCAACACCAGCAGCCAUGACUUUGAUGAUUUUUAUGAUUAACAUUUCUCUUUUGAGAGCUCACACUCGUUUUUUUUUUUUUUCAAUGAGCAGUUAAUAUGUUUGAAAGAGAUGCCUUUAUACGAUCGCAAAACAAACAAAAAUCUUCACUGAGGAAUGAGUGCGACAUUCCACGAAAACAAAAAAGAGCUAUCCUCUUUAUUGUGGCCAAAGACUGUGAAGGGUUUUCAAAACAUGUCGGUGUUAACCCUGCUUGAAUCUCUUUAGCUGAACAACACUUGGACCUGGUUGAAAUAGAUUAAACUUGGUUUUUAAAGUGAUUCCUUUGCACUGUGUUGAAUAUUACGCAUUUUAGAUGCUGCAGGUACCUGGCGGUGAGUUGGAGUGGAAUGCUCUGAGUCAACUCCUAUGAAAAGCCAGUGCGCAAUGGCCACUCUGCAUGCUGCUGAAACACCUUUGAACUCACUCAAGUACCCCUGGCCCAUUUAGGAGGACAAAAUACAUUGUGCUCAUCUCAAUAUAGAAACAAACGCUCUCUGUAUUUGUGGCGGU